UACUCUGUAAACCAAACUGGCCCACAGAGCUCCACCUGCCUCUGCCUCUCAAGUGUUGGAAUUAAAGGUGAGGAGGGGAGAAGAAUCACCUUGCUCCCACCUGCAGUGAGCCAGAGCCAAGCGCCUGGAAGAACCCAGCAUCUCCAUACCGGCUGGCUCACAGUCUCUCCAUGCAGCCUGCCUCUCAGCCAAUCCUUUCAGAUGUUCAAGUUCAGACUCAUGACCUACCCCAGGCUGGCCCAAGUGCCCCUGAAGUUAGCCAUCAUGUCCCAAUGAAGGUCCCAAUGAAGAGAGAUAAAGAUCCAAGGGAGAUGUGGUGGGA
ensembl:lincRNA Gm12336 predicted gene 12336